UACGUAGGUGGCAAGCGUUGUCCGGAAUUAUUGGGCGUAAAGGGCUCGUAGGCGGUUUGUCGCGUCGGGAGUGAAAUCCACUGGCUUAACUGGUGGCUUGCUUUCGAUACGGGCAGACUGGAGGUAUGCAGGGGAGAACGGAAUUCCUGGUGUAGCGGUGAAAUGCGCAGAUAUCAGGAGGAACACCGGUGGCGAAGGCGGUUCUCUGGGCAGAUACUGACGCUGAGACGCGAAAGCAUGGGGAGCAAACAGG
rnacentral:rRNA from 1 species